rnacentral:rRNA from 1 species
UCCAGACUCCUACGGGAGGCAGCAGUGGGGGAUAUUGCACAAUGGGGGGAACCCUGAUGCAGCGACGCCGCGUGGGUGAAGGAGCGUUUCGGCGCGUAAAGCCCUAUCGGCAGGGAAGAAGGAGGACGGUACCUGACUAAGAAGCCCCGGCUAACUACGUGCCAGCAGCCGCGGUAAUACGUAGGGGGCAAGCGUUAUCCGGAUUUACUGGGUGUAAAGGGGGCGCAGACGGCAGCGCAAGCCAGGAGUGAAAGCCCGGGGCCCAACCCCGGGACUGCUCUUGGAACUGCGCGGCUGGAGUGCAGGAGGGGCAGGCGGAAUUCCUGGUGUAGCGGUGAAAUGCGUAGAUAUCAGGAGGAACACCGGUGGCGAAGGCGGCCUGCUGGACUGCGACUGACGUUGAGGCCCGAAAGCGUGGGGAGCAAACAGGAUUAGAUACCCGCGUAGGG